UUCUUAUCACGAGAGGUCGAGGGAAUGGCCCGAAGACGCCUCAGCAACCUUCAAUGUUUUGUAUUGAAAAGGUGCUAAUUCCAGCAAGCUAUUUUUAGUAGCUUGGAAGAUAAGAA
rnacentral:ncRNA from 2 species